ensembl:lncRNA
UUUUACUUUCCCUGACUGGUGUUUUUGUUGAGACCAUCAGGUACCUUAGCUCCUAGACAAGGGUCUUCACUUCUCUUGGCCCUUUGUGACGGUAGGCUCAGGCUUUAGUCAGGAACAAUUGGUGACCCUGCCUCACGUCAAUUUAAUAGACUUAGUGAAUGAACUUCAGAUGAAGGGAACAGGAUAGGGAACAGUGGCUCAGAGGCGACGGGAGGAAUGUGAGAGUAACUUCUGAGAUGAUUACAAGUUCAUUAGCAAGGUAUUGUGCAGGAGAUAAAAGGGAAGAUUUCCAAGCUCACCAGUGGUGUUAAGAAGUGAGAGGAACCACUUCAUACUCAUUAGAAUGACUACUUCAAAAGAUGAAAAAACAGAAAACAACGAGUGUUGGAUUGCUGGGAGAAAUAUCAAUAACCUCAGAUAUGCAGAUGACACCACCCUUAUGGCAGAAAGUGAAGAACUAGAGAACCUCUUGAUGAAAGUGAAAGAGGAGAGUGAAG